CCAUUCGAUUGAUUUUAAAAUUCUCAUACACAUAAAAAAUCAAGUUUAAUAUCUCUCACAUAAGUUUCACUCCAAUCCAACUAGUAGAUUGCAAGAAAUCUUAAAAAUCCUCACUAGACCUAAAAUUCUCCUUUCUGAGAUCUUGACCCACUUAAACCUCAAUAUCCCUCAAUUCAAUUAUUAGAUCGAGCUCAAAUUCACAAUACAUAU
rnacentral:lncRNA from 1 species